GCAGAAGGAUCAUUAGUGAAGAUUUGGGCAGGCCAUACGGACGCCAAAAAGUGUCCCUGGCCGCCUACACCCACUAUACAUCCACAAACCCGUGUGCACUGUCUUGGAGAAAGGCUUCAGAGAAGUUUUUUGUGGCCUCUCAUGGGGUCUUUCUUCGCUACAAACUCGAAUGGUUAGUAUGAACGUGGAACUUGGUUGGACCGUCACUGGCCAACAAACUAUACACAACUUUCGACAACGGAUCUCUUGGUUCUCCCA
rnacentral:misc_RNA from 1 species